GGCCUGCUUGCUCAGUCCGUUAGAGCGUCGUGCUAAUAACGCGAAGGUCGUAGGUUCGAUCCCUGCGCAGGCCA
rnacentral:tRNA from 1 species